AUGUUCGAGCGGAAGAAGGAUACGAUGGGAUUAACGAACGGCAACGGUAAUCUCGCCGAAGAUAUACAGAAGGAGAAACCGACGAGAUUCUGGACGAAGAUCCACCUGAAUGAAUGGACGUUCAGUCUGUCACUUUUAGUGCUCUCGCUCUUCAUCGUUAUAGGAAAAUUAUACGCGAAUUAUGCGAUCUGAAUCGUUUCCACAAGAAGCAUCUCGUUAUCGCGCGAACGAUAGAUUGAUAUCGCCGAUAGGACCCCGGGAUUCAUUUGUCAAAAUGCGCAAUUUUUAUUUUGGUUCAAUUGGAAGACAGAUUGUCGACGAUGCGGAUUAUUCUAUGAGAAAAAUACAUUGCGUUCUAAGUGUACUUUAAAUUUCCUUAAACGUACAAUUUUUGUCCUGAUUUAAAAAAAAAUAAAUUAUUGAUAUUAUUAAUCAUUAUUAAUAUUUAGCACAUAAUUAUAUUUUAUCGAUCUAAUGUACAAAUUGAAGUUGAUUCAUCAUUACUUUUAACUUAAUAUUUCUCAUACUUGUGUGUAUUGGAUGUUUUUUUCAGUUAUGCUUUCUACAUUUUCAUAGUUUCUUUCUUUUUCUUUUCCAUACAGCACAGAAUAUUGCAAUAUUGCGGCAAUAUUGUAAUUAUUAGUAUUGUUGUAAUAUUACAACAAUAUUAAUAAUAUUGCUGCAAUAUUCUGUUAAUACAUAAGCAAAUUAAUGUAGUUAUUUUAUCAACAUCAAAAGAAGAUAAGAAUUUGUGUAGCUGAAGAAAUCAUAUCUAAUAGAUUUUUAUAAUUAAUUUAUCAAAGUAAUCAUUUCUACAAGCUGUUUUGUGUUUCAAUUAAUAUUUGUUAUCAAUAAAUCUGUAUUUCUCAA
rnacentral:misc_RNA from 1 species